rnacentral:rRNA from 1 species
UACGGAGGGUGCAAGCGUUAUCCGGAUUCACUGGGUUUAAAGGGUGCGUAGGUGGGCUGGUAAGUCAGUGGUGAAAUACUUUCGCUUAACGAAGGAACUGCCAUUGAUACUAUCAAUCUUGAAUGUAGUGGAGGUAGGCGGAAUGCGUCAUGUAGCGGUGAAAUGCUUAGAUAUGACGCAGAACACCAAUUGCGAAGGCAGCUUGCUACACUACUAUUGACACUGAGGCACGAAAGCGUGGGGAUCAAACAGG